rnacentral:lncRNA from 10 species
GCUUGGGCAUGGCUGGCUGCAGGUCCCCAGCCCUGCCACACGGGGAGGCGGCUGAGGCCCAGCAAGAAUUCAAGCUCCGCGGGGGCAGGCCAGCAGUGCUGGGGGACCCGGCGCACCCUCCGCAGCUGCUGGCCCGGGUGCUAAACCCCUCACUGCCCGGGCCGGCGGUGCCGGCGGGCUGCUCUCAGUGCGGGACCUCGGAGCCUGCGCCCACCCGGAACUAGCCGCGUUCAGCCCUGGUUCCCGCCCCCGCCUCUCCCGCCACACCUCUCCACAAGCAGAGGGAGCUGGCUUCAGCCUCAGCCAGCACAGAGAGGGGCCCCCAUAGCGCAGUGGCGGGCUGAAGGGCUCCUUGAGCAUGGCCAGAGUGGACGCCAAGGCUGAGGAGGCGCCGAGAGCCAGUGAGGGCUGCUAGCAUGUUGUCACCUCUCAAUACAUAAAACUACUGGAGGGUGGUUCCAAGAUGGCCAAAUAGGAACAGCUCCAGUCUACAGCUCCCAGCAUGAGUGAUGCAGAAGACGAAUGAUUUCUGCAUUUCCAACUCAGGGACAUGAGGAUGAAGCUGGAAACCAUCAUUCUCAGCAAACUAUCGCAAGGACAAAAAACCAAACACUGCAUGUUCUCACUCAGAGGUGGGAAUUGAACAAUGAGAACCCAUGGACACAGGAAGGGGAACAUCACACACCAGGGCCUGUUGUCGGGUGGGGGGAGCGGGGAGGGAUAGCUUUAGGAGAUACACCUAAUGUAAAUGAUGAGUUAAUGGGUGCAGCACACCAACAUGUCACAUGUAUACACAUGUAACAAACCUGCACGUUGUGCACAUGUACUGUAAAACUUAAAGUAUAUAAAAAAAAAAAACUAUUGCACAGUUCACAUGCCAGCCAUUUAACAUUGGUUUACUCUCUACUUGGGGAUGACAUCUAGAAUCUUAAAAGCGAAGCUAGGCAAUUGGAAAGAAUGAGACUUGGGCUGCCUGGUUCAGGGGCUCUUGUUUCUUCCUGCCAAAACCUCUUCUCUCCUUUUCUGCUAAUAACCCUCCCACUCUCCUGUCUUCCUGCACGGCCUCUCCUUGGCCAUGUGUGGAUUCCUAGCCCCAACCCCUCUGGAAUCUGGAGUCUCCCUUUAGGUAGAGAAUGAAUGGAACAGUGAUCUGCCUGAAGUAUCUCAGAGGGGCACCCACACACUGCUGCAGGUGCAGCCGAGGCUGUUCAUGUUCUUCCUGAAGCCUGAUUGUUCAUCUCUUCUUACAGUUCUGUGAACUCUUGCCACAUCCCUCUCACAAAUCCCCUUUGGCUUUAAGUUAGCCAGAGUUGGUUCCCGUUGCUUAUAACAAAACAUACUCAGCUUAUAUGUAUGGCAAUAUUCAAGAUAUCAUUCUCAAGGCCACUUAGGCAUUUGACAUUCGGAUAAUUGGUAGACUUAAGGAUCGUGAGAUUGUUUCCAGGCACCAAGAAGAUGGUACCAGCUGGCAAUUCAGUCUGUCUAUCCUCAGGAGUUUCCAUUUUAGUAACAUUUGAAAGGAUUCUUUUAACACGGAUUGUGAAAACUUCGAAUUUAUUGAAAAGACAAAAUUACAACGAAUGAAUUGUAUUUUAUACUUAAUAGUCAAUGUAGCUAUACUAUCACUAAUGAGUGAAUCAUGUAUUUUAUACUUAAUCAAUGUAGAUGAACUGUCAUUAAUUAUAGUAUUGGGAGUAUGGUUAUUUUUAACUUUUAUUUUAGGUUCAGGCUACAUGUGCAAGUUUGUUAUAUUGGUAAAUUAUGUGUCAUGGGGCAUUGGGUGUACAGAUUAUUUCAUCACCCAGGUAAUGAGCAUAGUACCUGAUAGGUAGUUUUUCAGUCCUCAUCCUCCUUCCACCCUCCACCCUCAGGAUGAAAUUGUGCUGCCACCAGGUGAGGUAUGUAGUGAGCAGGGAUGAGCUCUAGGAGCCUAUAGAGACUUCUGAUUCACAGUGUUAGUUUCCUGUCUUUUUAAACCUGGUUUAAUUUCCUGCUCUCAUAGAGGAUCUUUUUUCAGGAGGCUUGGUGGUCUUUACUGCCAUCUAGCUUCAGUAAGGGGCACCCUAGUCUCAGAGAGAUUUUAACAAAUUUAAACCUCAGAGUAAAGGGAUUGGGGUCCCUGUUUCUUUUAUCUUUCAGAAAGCCCCUCUAUUUCUACCUACAUUAUUGAGAGCAAACUGAAACUGAGGUAAAGCAGCUCUGUUAACUUCCCCAGGAGCAUCUGCUCUAUGUUGAAUUAAAAAGUCCUGUUAUACCAGUGCCUUGUAGCAUUAAGUGAACAAACUAUUCUUUACUGCAAACAUUCUGAUGAUGUAGUUUCCUAUGACACACAUGCCUCAUCUCACAUAAAAGAGCUAAAUCCUUUUAUUUUAGAAGGUGAAUAGAUGAUAUCUAACCUGAAAACAUUCAGAAAUAUUGAUAUAGGCAUAUUAGAAAUAUGAAG